UAGACAUGAUAGGAUUGCUUUCAUAUAAGUUCGGAAAUAAGGUUCGAAUGUUUCUACGAGGACACCUCAAAUGGCCUCUCUAUGAAGGUGAAUGUAUUUGCU
rnacentral:ncRNA from 1 species